GGAGUGGUAGUUCAGUUGGUUAGAAUACCGGCCUGUCACGCCGGGGGUCGCGGGUUCGAGUCCCGUCCGCUCCGCCA
rnacentral:tRNA from 92 species